AAACAAACACAUUUUCACCUUUCUUCCGUGAAUUCCGGCCACCAUCGUCCCACCACUUCACGCAACUGCCCAUCGUUUUGCACCUAAUCCCUAAUCUAUUCACCGACUGUGCCACCGUCACUUCAUCAACCGCUGUAAUCGUUUGGAUGCUACUAGGCUAUGGAGCUCAUCUGUUAUCUAUCUUCGCUUCUUCCUAUCUGCAAACCAUGGAAGGAAAGACAUGGUGUGUAUGCAAAGCCAGCUGAUCAAAAAGAGGUGGUUCUGAAGGUCUCUUUGCCCAGAAAACUCUAAAGAUAACUGACAGUGUUCUUUCCACAUACAAGAGUCAAGGUGGUUGUGAUUUGCUUGGUCGGACGAAAGAUCAAAUUAGGACCACAGAGAAAGUUAAUGCUGCUCUUGCUGCAUGCAACAACUUGAAACUUGAUGGCCUUGUCAUCAUUGGGGGGGUGACAUGAAACACAGAUGUUGCCCAGCUUGCAGAAACGUUUGCUGAAGCAAAAUGCCCACCAAGGAUUCUGCUGGUGGUUGGCGUUCCUGUGACUUUGAAUGGAGAUCGUAAAAACUGGUUUGUUGAAACUAAUGUUGGUUUUGAUACCAUUUGUAAGGUAUUUGUCCAAUGUGGGUGAGAGUUUUAGUUUUAAUGGGGUUUAAAAUUGUUUUCAUGUGAUGGAGCUCAAUGUGUGAAUUUUUCUGUUUGCUUUAAAUUGAAAAUGUGAUGUUAUCGCGAGGGUGUCAAUUUUGACAUUCUAACAGCUAUUAGAAAAUGUGAUGAUUGCCAAUUUGGGUUCAAUAUGAUAGGCCAGUCUUUAUUUGAUUUUCGUUUGCCUAUUGACCAAGAUUAAGAUGCUUCAUAAGGAUGCGAUUUGAGCGCUAUCAAGGUACCUUCUACCUCCCAAAACCCCUGCUAAUUAUACUUUACAGGUUGUGUGUCUACUGCAUAGCAGCCUCUUAACCCAUCCUAUCAGACAUGUAUGGUUAUAAAUUGAACAACAUACUGUGAGGAUCUUCAUCUGUUCCUUCAUAAUCGAUUUAUCCAUUUUCUUCUGCACUAUCCCUCUUUGUUCUCCACUAUUCACUUGGAGAACUAGGCUUAUAGUUCUUCGGAUGUGGGAAAUUCGUCCAGUGAGUAAACCAUUGAGUCCAUAUUCCCUGCACAUUGUUCUCUUUUAUGCUGAGGUUUUGAAAGAAAAAUAAAUCUUUAUCCAUCUCUCAUCAUUCGUUAAUCAGUAUUCCUUAUAGCUUUUGGAUAGAUGUGUGUAGCUUUGUGUGGAUUUGUAUCUAUUUUCCUUUACUUGUGUUUACCUCUUAGUUGUUGCCAACAGCAAGAAAAAUUUGCCACUGAUUUUCUCUUUGGUGGGGAUUUAAAUGCAGUUGGGGAGUUAUUCAGUAACCUGAAGGCAAAGUUUUCUUUCAAAAGAAAGCAGGAGACAAGUUUGACAGUGUCAACCAUUAAAGAACAUUCUAAUCAUUUGUUGAAUCAUCUUUCUCAGAGAUUGGAUCCAUGACUGGCUUGCGACUGAUAAUAAUCAGAUGCGGAGACAAUGAUUAUCAAUGCUAAAAGGAAACAUGUAACUCGUGGAAAGUUAUUCUAAAUUUCAUUCUUCAAUUUAUUUAUGUUAGUAAAGAGUAAGUUUCAUUUUAGGCUCAAUCUUCCAUUUGUUGAAAUGCAAAUCUAAUACACGCGGUCCAGGUGGUAACCCUUCAAAUGAAUUCAAAAUUGUCUUCAUGUAUUUACUAACUGCAAUAGUUUAGUGUAUAUCUUUGACUAUAUAAGCCAUUGUUUAUUUUGAUAUACGUUUUCCUUGGUCCUGCUGAGUUGUCUCUCUGCCUCCUUUCUCAUCCUACUUUAUUUUAUUUUCUGCUUCUGGUUUCUUCUAGGAUGUCUCUUCCAUUUCUUUCUUCCUCCCUCCAUUUUUAUAUGACUAUUAAUUUUCAGCUACAAUAUGAAAAUUCAUUUUUUCUUUGUUUUCAGGUUGAUCCAAGCUUCACUUUGAUGGUGGUUGUUAUCCAAGAGUGUAGCCUUCAUUUGCUUUGGUUUUUUUUUCUUCUGUUGCUCUUGAAAAGUACACUAUUCAAAUAACUCCAAGAAUUCAGCCUUCAAAAUUUUGAUUUCCUCAAUCCAGCUUAUUCAAAUUGUUGUUUUGUUGUAGUAAUGCCAUCAUGUUUACCACUAACAUGGUUGGUUGUGUCUACAAUCCAAUUACGGUUACUCUGCCGCCUUUGUGGUUUGUGUAAAAUCAAUUGCAGUUAUCUCUAUAUAUGAGUUUGGUUGUGUUGGUGCUUUGCAUUGUGAAGUUGCAUGCCCCAGCUAUGAAUUUCAAACUCAUAUCAUUGAAUCUUACUCGGUUUCUCAAUUAUCUAUACCCCUUCUUUUUUUGCUACACCAGCUAUUGAGUUUUUCAAUCUUGGUCUCACCUACUGUGUUGCCCAUGUUCAUAGGAUUUACUUUGAUUUUAUUGUGUUGAUGAAUAUUUUAUUUUUUGGUGAUUGUUUUAUUCAUGAAUAAGUUUAUCCUUCGCUAUGUUUUAAUCUGUUCCCGGAGUGUUUGGUCUCUACUGUAACAUUUGAUCUUUUAUUAUUUCUUAAUAGGUUGUUGAAAUUGAGACUGAGAUGAAAACUUGCUACUAUAUGUCGUUUUCUGCAAGAAGGUGUGUUCAAGAGCUGUGAGAAAGACGCGCGACAAGGAUUCAGGUAGCUCUCUCUCUGAGAAUCCGAGUGACACAGCACCUCUAAAUCUCCUUCGCCGCCGGAGACUUCAACGCCAGCGCACCAGCCACCGUCGAGCCAAGCCUAAGUCUGUUAUCAUCACAUCGCUUCUCUUUUCUCCCUUUCAGGUUGAGAGAAGCUCUCUCUGCGACAAGCUUUAUCUCAUGCCGAGACUCAAGCAUCUUCUUCCACAUCAUCUCCAAUUCUCACUCUGUUUUUUUGCAACAGAGACAAGGUUUAUUCCAAAAGUGGUACUAAUCGAAGGAAAUUGCAAGGAGCUGCUACAACACUUUCAGAUGCUACGCUUACGAAGUCUCCCAAUAUGGCUUACCUCCCUGGGGGAAUCAACUUGCUUAUGGCUCUUAAUGCUCGCUAUUGAUUGAUGUGGGUAAUUUAACUCUGUACAUUCCAACUUCUCUCAGGUUCUGAUUCCGGGACUUGAAAGUGUUGGUUGAUUAUAGUUCAAUUAUCAGCUGCUAUAAUGAGAAGACCAAAGAAGAAGAUCUGAAAGCAAUGCAAGUGGAUACGACAGUUUUGGGCCUUUCACAAGAAGAGGCUGAAAAUAAACCAUCAUACAUUGCUUCCAUGGGAGUGUACAUAUUCAAAAUGUAUUAGAAAGAAAGAUAAGGGAUUCAGGUUUCAUCCAACCAAUGAAGAGCUCAUAUGUACUACCUCCCACAGAAGGUUCUUGACAGCUAUUUCUAUGCUAUAGCCAUUGCGGAUGCUGAUUUGCACAAGUGUGAACCAUGGCCAGUUAGAUAGAGCUGCUCAUAGAAUGGGUACAAAUAUCAUUCGUAUUCAGGAACACAUACUAAACCUGGGAUGCUUCUGGCAGUGCUUUCUACUUAUUUUAGGUAUCAAUUAGAUAACAUCUAAUGUCUGACGACCUUUGUUAAUUUUAUCACUUUCAAGGCUUUUUGUGCAUGUUGCAGCUCAAUUAUAUAUAUAUAUAUAUAUAUAUAUAUAUAUUGAUUAGUUUUGUUUUGUGAAUUGGAACUGUCACAUGUGUUUUGACAAUUGAUAUAGUGCUUAAUAGUAUCAUCAAUCUCUAAAUGUUUAAA